AAGCGGAGGAAAAGAAACCAACAGGGAUUGCCUUAGUAGCGGCGAGUGAAGCGGCAAAAGCUCAAAUUUGAAAUCUGGCACUUUCAGUGUCCGAGUUGUAAUUUGAAGAAGGUAUCUUUGGGUCUGGCUCUUGUCUAUGUUUCUUGGAACAGAACGUCACAGAGGGUGAGAAUCCCGUGCGAUGAGAUGUCCCAGACCUAUGUAAAGUUCCUUCGAAGAGUCGAGUUGUUUGGGAAUGCAGCUCUAAGUGGGUGGUAAAUUCCAUCUAAAGCUAAAUAUUGGCGAGAGACCGAUAGCGAACAAGUACAGUGAUGGAAAGAUGAAAAGAACUUUGAAAAGAGAGUGAAAAAGUACGUGAAAUUGUUGAAAGGGAAGGGCUUGAGAUCAGACUUGGUAUUUUGUAUGUUACUCUCUCGGGGGUGGCCUCUACAGUUUACCGGGCCAGCAUCAGUUUGGGCGGUAGGACAAUUGCAAAGAAAUGUGGCACUGCCUCGGUAGUGUGUUAUAGUCUUUGUCGAUACUGCCAGCCUAGACUGAGGACUGCGGCUUCGGCCUAGGAUGUUGGCAUAAUGAUCUUAAGUCGCCCGUC
rnacentral:rRNA from 1 species